GGUCAGAACGAACGCUGGCGGCGUGCUUAACACAUGCAAGUCGAACGCGAAAGGGACUUCGGUCCUGAGUAAAGUGGCGCACGGGUGAGUAACGCGUAGAUAACCUGUCUUCAUGUCUGGAAUAAUACGCCGAAAGGGGUACUAAUACCGGAUAUUCUUGCUUUUCAUAAGUUAUGCAAGCAAAGGUGGCCUCUGCAUAUGCUACUGCAUGAAGAGGGGUCUGCGUACCAUUAGCUAGUAGGUGGGGUAAUGGCCUACCUAGGCGACGAUGGUUAGCGGGUCUGAGAGGAUGAUCCGCCACACUGGCACUGGAACACGGGCCAGACUCCUACGGGAGGCAGCAGUGAGGAAUAUUGCGCAAUGGGGGAAACCCUGACGCAGCGACGCCGCGUGAGUGAGGAAGGCCUUCGGGUCGUAAAGCUCUGUCAAGAGGAAAGAAGUGUACAAUGGCUAAUACCUGUUGUAUUUGACGGUACCUCUAAAGGAAGCACCGGCUAACUCCGUGCCAGCCGCAGC
rnacentral:rRNA from 1 species